CGCUGGUACCUAUUCCGGGAUAUAUUAGAGCAAUCUUAAAUAGACCUUCCAACUGCGAGAAGUGACAGUAGGUGGAUCGAUGAGAAUGCAAACUGACAAGGCACCCCAAAAAUACGGAAAAAACACCCUCCACUGGUUGAUCCAGUGUACUGUUUCUUAGUAGCCGGUCCAUGAGCUGCCAAGCUGAUCUAUUAGUAAUUUCCUGUAGGUGUAAAAUGCCAAAGGUCAUUUGCGAACUUUAGGGCCACAAAAGGAAAACUGCUAACAGGUCUCGACUCUUGAAGUGGAAGAUGGCUCCUCCAAUCGUGCCAGGGCACCCGGUGAUGUGGUCUUGCAGGCCAAUCUCCAAUCUCAAGUAACGCGUGAAGUCUACCACCAAUUCCGUAACAGAAGCGAGUAGGGUCUUUCGUUCACUCAUGACCUACUCGGUGAGUCGUCUCCUCUGAGAGUGAAUUUAUAUGCAGGCAAGAGUGCGGUCAAAAAUAGCCAUAUCCUGAGUGAUUCCAGUAUUCCAAAUGUACUGUGUGACCCGCGACUGCGGUAGUGAAAGAAACUCCCAGAGGACGUCCAAUCAGGGUCUGAACUGAACUUGUGAAGUAAAACGGUGUUCGACUACCUUGGGGAUUGUGAACCCCGGAAUAUCCAAAAGGAGGAGAACACAACCAGGGUUGAGGUUUCCAUCCAGCUAUAUCAUAUCGAAGAGUGAUAAGACGUCCGGAUCCAAUGGUAAUUGGGACCUGUAUAACAAAAAGAGUCCUCACGUACUGUAGUGAGAGAGUGAAAUAAACCGAUACGAUCCUGAUCCCUGUCUGACCUGUCAAAAUAUGUGUAUGGAACGCCACCUACAAGAUAGAGUAUAAUAUAAUGAGUCUCUUGGUCCCUGCACCCCUGACUGUCCGGGUACGAUUUCCAAGAGUAGGCCCCAGGCCAAGGAACCCAGGAAAGUGAAUUUGAUAAAAGAAGUCAAAGCAUCCCUAUAUAGGAAUACCUCCCUUUAUCCUGGAGUUCCGUGGACUCAUAGUGUUUUCUGAUACGUAAGCAAGACGUAAAGUCCCUUUACUCACAACAGGACUUCCAGAUAGCAGAUAUAACAAAAC